CGAAAGAGGUAGAUUGGUGCUGAAAGUGUGGCGGUCGUGUCCACCAUGAAUGACCAGGCGGAUACCAGUGUCUCAAAACGGUCCGAGCUGGCGGAGAGCCCAUUGUGCUCAGGAGAUCGAAAAGUUACCCUAUUGAAGAAUCAGAUAUCUGUUCAUCGUACUUUAAAGAAAAAAGUGAACGUGACUGGGCCAGCUUCAGAAAACCGCAGAUACACACUGACAAAAUUUCCCUUCGGCUCUAAGUGAUCACAUCAGCUGAACCAGCCUCAUGAAAAGGAUUAAGACAGCGCACAGGUUUGACUAGAUUCAAUUGGAAGCACAUGAUUGCCAAAAAUGAGAUGGGGAAGAUGUGACCCCUUUAACCCCUAAAGUUUUUGAAAGGACGCAGAAAGCAGAAAAGUGGAUUCCGGUUGGCAUGAGGAGAUGGCACGUGUGUGUGCAGUUGGUGUGGUGGUGGUGAAAUUGGCCAGUCAGGUGGAAAAAGGCCUCAGUUUUUCAUUUCAUCAAGCAAUAAAACCCAGAGCCCUUGUGGCUUUUAUCUGUGCUGUGAUCUUAACACAUUAUAAGGCUGUUCAGAAGGCGGUUGGAGGAAGUGAUGAUAACUACAGAACGUCUAUGGCAACAUAAUGAGAAAAACAGCACUAGAUAACAUCAAAACCAAUUAAGUGCACACAGGUUCAUUUUGACCUGAAUAAUUUGAGACCGUUUUAAAUCACAGCAGAAUUUUUAUGAUUAAGUUUCCUAAAAUUACAGAAGAGAAUUCACCGAGGACGAACUGCACCCGCUGAUAACUAUGUUGUUGUUUGUUUCAUCUAUUUAGUCUUCAAAUUCAUGUCUGCUUUAAAAUACACAGCAUCGUCUUCUAAUCUAUUCUGAAUGCUAUCAUACAACCCCAGGACUUGUGACGUUAUGACAUCAACUAAUGUGGAUUUUUGUCAGUCAGAUGAGCUGGGGGUGACUCAAAGUGAGCGUGUGAUAAAGAGAUGCUCUGACAAAAGCGUGACACACAUGGAAUGGAUUCGUACCAAGUUAUGGUUUCUAUUUCCAGUGAAUGACACCUGUAAUUGAUGCAGUGAAGACGCAUGCAGCACCUCUGAAAGUCAGUGUGGAGUCCAUCUCAACCAUAUUAUCCCUCGCCCACAAGGCAUUGUAAGGAACCAAUCAUCUUUUAGCAUCUGAUGCUCUUUUAUCAGAUAUUCCACUCUCAUUUCUAAUUCUGCUCUACUUUUAAAAAGCCAUAUCUUUCCUGCUAAAAUUUUAGGCUUGCAUGUACAUUCAUGCUGGUGCAUGCUGGUCCGCAUAGCUUUGUUCUUACAAAAAUAAAAAUCUGUCAUUUAUUUACCCUGAUGUUGUUCAAAACCUGUAUGACUCUUUCUUCUGUGGAACAUAAAAGAAGAUAUUUUGAGAAAUGGCUCAGUGAUUUUGACUCCGUACAAUGGAAGUUAAUGGG